rfam:Halodesulfurarchaeum formicicum strain HSR6 chromosome, complete genome.
GUAGGGAACGCACGACCGCAAGUCUGACUCGCCGAAUAUCGGCUUGGGAUUGCGGUAGUGC